UAGGGGGCAAGCGUUAUCCGGAUUUACUGGGUGUAAAGGGAGCGUAGACGGUUUGGCAAGUCUGAAGUGAAAGGCAUGGGCUUAACCCGUGGACUGCUUUGGAAACUGCAUGACUGGAGUGCAGGAGAGGUAAGUGGAAUUCCUAGUGUAGCGGUGAAAUGCGUAGAUAUUAGGAGGAACACCAGUGGCGAAGGCGGCUUACUGGACUGUAACUGACGUUGAGGCUCGAAAGCGUGGGGAGCAAAC
rnacentral:rRNA from 1 species